GUUGACGCGACUUCCUCCAAGGAUAAAGUUACUCGUGGCAGAGUCGAGCUAUCUUUGUCAUGGACUUCACAUUUGGCGGUGGCCCUUCUUUCCAUCCAUCCAGGCCUUUGCUGUCCUCGGUGACAUGAGUUAUCAUGCCUACAAGUGAUCGGACGUAGGCCGGUUUCUGGCAUUGCGAGUUUUGAAAAAUCCCGCCCCAUACCUGAGGUGAUGGGUGGCCGUAGUUCUGUGUCACUUGAUUCAAGUACUCUUCUUGUGGCCAAGAUCCAGCUGAUAGCUGGGACUGAAGAUGGCUGCAUAUCUACUGGGGAAUGUUCUGCUAUUCUGAGAAUAUUUGGAUCUCCGAUGCCCUGAAGUUGGAGCUGCUCAUUACGGGGGACGUCUGUUUUGUUUAGACAGC